UAGCCGACAUCGUCUCUGAUAUUUUGUCUAUCGACCCAAUGGAUACGGUGUUAGUAAUGCUGCCGUUACAUAUGGGACUUAGGGUGUAUUUUGUCAAUUCUUACCCCUACAUCGAUUACGAACACUCGCCUUUAAGCUUGAUAUUGAAAUCACGAAUUACAAUAAUCUUCCCCUAGGUUUCUGAUAAUUAUAUACAAAGAGGAAGGAUUUAGCUGCUGAUUUCCACAUACGACUACAACCACAACGGAAAUAAACACAGUGACAUCGAUUUCCACAUCACUUUGUAAGCGAAAGAGAUCCUCAAUCGGAGGUGGAUCUGAAUCCGAACAACAGCCUCCAAAGCUUGAGAAGAUUGGCGAUGAACAACGACCUAUGUCCAAAAACGCGGAGGUAAUGUAUUGUGAGGCGAGGGAUCAUUUCUGUUAUUAUGUUAAAAAAAUUUGGAUGGCUGAAUAACAUUGGGUGGCGUAUUUGUGAUGGCAUUGUGUGUGGAAAAUGGUCAGAAGGUAAUUCAAUUGCAUGCGGGAUUAUUUAAGGAAAAUUCUUUAAGCGAUGGUGGACUUGUGAAAGAUAGAAGUGAAGUUCUGAGGGAACACUCGGCCAGUAGCCGAAGGCCUCUUAAUAUGAACUGUCGUAUAGAGUCCUUUGGGAGAAUAUGUCAAAAAUUUGAUGGUAGGAGGAGAAGGUGGGUGUAUGAGAUGGGUUUUGGAGGGCUGCUCCACUUUGCCUAUGAUAUGCAUUUUCCAAGGCAGUUAGCCUAUUGGUUAAUGACUAGGGUUGACCCUAUAAACAAAGUUUUUAUAGCACCAGGAGGUCGGGAGUACCGCUUAUCAAAGAAUCAGGUUAGAUGGGUGCUAGGUAUCCCAAAUGGUGCAAAAGAAGUUCCAAGUAUGAAUUCGAUGACAGAUGAAAUUCGUGAGAAGGUCCAGAACAUAUUCUUGAAAUAUGGUAAAUCAUGGCAGACAAAAUUAAAGAACGACUGCUGAAAUGUGUACACAUCCAUAGGAAUUCCUGUCAAGAGUGAGAUGAAAGACAGGUUUGAAGGGUAUUUUGAGGUACAACAGGAGGAAGAAUUCAAAACUCUAUUCUUGAUUAUGCAUUGCAAAUGGUGUUGUGCCCGACCCAGUUACCAAGAUUAGAGUCUGACUUAAUGCCUGCUCUUGGGUGUGUAAUGGAAACUUGUGAGUAUGAUUGGUGUAAGUUGAUACUGUGUAAAUUAAUGGACAGUGUAAGUAGCUUUGCGCGUCGAUUUUACGCUAAUGGAUUUGCUGGAGGUUGCGGAGGAUGUGCAAUGUUUGUAGUGAUAUACUACCUGGACUGGUUGGACAGGGAUCCUAUUCAAUGGGAUGUUUAUCCUCGAACUAAAGUAUGGAAUAUGAAGCAAAUUCGUAAGGUCGGGAAGUGUGAUAGGCUAAGAACGGGGGACUACGGUUGCUUAGGGCAUGUGGUAUAGCUCUUAGAUGUUGCAUAAGGUGAAUCUCAUCCUAGGGAGGCUAGGGACACGGAUGGCCCAAUUACCAUGACCGAAAACCCGUAUAUGACCACGAUGGUGGGGUGCAAGGAAAGGAGAAGGCGAGCUCCGACACAUAGCAAUAUGGGAAAUGGCAACCCCAUGUAACAUAUAAUGGGGAAAAUGAGUUGAGUGUGAAGGCUGAUACAUAUUGAAUUUAAAAAGUUGUAAUGGGGACGCAAUUCAAUUAGGAUGAAUGUUGUUGAAACAUCUUAUGUUUUGCUGUUUCUGUUAAUGGUUUUUUGGUCAAUAGUGGUUCAAAGCAUAAUCCCAAGUUAUUUUGGGUUGUGUAUAUUAUUGUUUACUCAGUAAUGAGUGUCAUACAACUAUGCGUCAUUUGAAAUAUUAACACUUGCAUGUUAGGGUGAUUUGUUUUCAUUUUGAA